rnacentral:rRNA from 1 species
UACGAGGGGGGCAAGCGUUGUUCGGAAUUACUGGGCAUAAAGGGUGCGUAGGCGGCAUGCCAAGUCAGGGGUGAAAGGUUUCGGCCCAACCGGGACAGUGCCUUUGAUACUGGCGUGCUUGAGUGCGUGAGGGGUGACUGGAACGAGUGGUGUAGCGGUGAAAUGCGUAGAUAUCACUCGGAAGGCCAACGGCGAAGGCAGGUCACUGGUACGCAACUGACGCUGAGGCACGAAAGCGUGGGGAGCAAACAGG